GCAGUUUGGACAGAGACCCAUGGGGCCUCCCCCUCCUGGACAGAUGGUGAGAGGACCUCCCGCUCCCCCUCGCCCCGGAAUGCCGGCUCCACCACCACCUCGCCCUGGCAUGCCACCGCCACCUGGAAGCGGUGUUCCGGUGUUUGGUCCUCCUCGACCUGGCAUGCCCCCUCCGCCAAACCCUCCAAAUCAACAGCAACAGUAAUGGCAGAAUUGAUUGGUAGGUUUGUAUUUGGUGUUUUGUUCAAUCCUCUGUUUAUGUGUUUGAGUGUGUUUGCAGAGUUGAGGGAGUCAGUGAGUGUAUGUGUGUGAGUGUUUGAGUGUGCGUUUGUAAAAUUGAUUUUGAAGUUAUUUAUGUUUGAAUGAUUUUACUAUAAUAGCUAGUUUGAUGUAAAAUUUAGUUUAAAUUUUUCAACAUCAAAGUUUUAAAUUGCUGCUGCCAUCGCAUUCCUUGAUAUUGUUGGAAUUUGUGACAAGUGCUGCCACAAUUUUGGCCAUGUACAUCUCAAAUUAACCUUGACUUUGUGACUGAAAUUUCAAAAGUUAUUUUUUUAUUACCUCUAGUCUGACAAUGACCAAAUUUGUAUCUUUUCUAAAACCAUGGUUGACAAGAGGCGGAAUCAAUUUGUUUACCAUCCA
rnacentral:lncRNA from 1 species